CCGAAACGCGUAAGGACAGGACACUUUUUGGCACUUACCUCAAACUGCUACACUACUGAGUUAUACUGGAACUCAGAAGAAGAGAACUUUGACAUGCACGCAGCACCUUAUAGUUUUUUCAUCUACUGGUGGAACUGUAGGACCGUGAUAACCACCCCCAAAGACAAGCCUUUCCAUGAACACUUGGUAUAUAUCUGCAAAGUGUAAGUGCAUUUUAAUUCAGCAAUUUUAUUAAAGUAUUCAACACAGUAAGUGUAACAGAUCACCUGGCACCCCGACUGGGUACCUCCGUUGAAGGAUGCUCCUAGCGGUUCCUGAGGACUCCAAGCACUGCAGCAGACACCAAAACCACCGAUCUGUAGGAGCAUAUGAAUGCUCUUGAGCAUAUGAAUGCUCUCAAGCAUAUGAAUGUUGUACACAGCCAAAUAGGAAAAACCAUGCGAAUAGGCUUACACUACAAACUGGAACAGCAUACAAUGAAUCCUCCCCCAAUAAUGAGACGACACUUCACUUUGAGGGUUAAGCAGGAACUGCAGAGAUGUGGGUUUAUUGUUCUUAUGUACACAUUCUUACACAUUAGUACCACCCACAGGGUUUUGUAAAACAACCAAUAAACACAUACAAUACACUCAGACACUCCCACACAAAAUCCUCCCCUCUGCCGGUGAUACAAUUACCUUACACAGUGGGUAAUUCAAUUAUCACAGCCAGAGAAAUACAGUUUUUCCACAUUAUUCAUAACUUGAAAAGUAUGCAUCACAUUCACAUUUUCAGAAUCAGCAUACUCCAAAUAUGUCAAAAUCAUACAUAUUUGUCCAGUGGUUCAAAAGAUAGAUUGUAGUCCUUUGUGACCAAAGGAAGCAUGGCUUUUCUGCCCAAAACCAGUUCCACAGAGUCUUCUAUCCUGGAGAUAAUUGGGAAGUAAUCCAAUUAUCUCCAAAGACAGAGGCAAAACUCCAUUGAACACAUGGCAGCAAAAGACAAUAAAACACAUAAAACAUAUAACUGUGCAGCCAUUGCACAAAACAGGUACAUUCAACAUAUCCCCAGAUAGCUCAGAUCUGAGCGCACAUUAUUACUGAAUGGCGCUCAGAGCACACACAUACAGUUCAAUUGCCAUGGAGCCAAAGUCUUUCCCAUAGUCUUUCAUUAUACGAAUGGGCUCCAUGGCAUAGCUACCUGGGGUAUCACUGCUCACGUAGGGAAAGUACCGAAGAGCCAGCUUUUGGGUCUUUGCAGGGGAAAAUCCAUCAUUUCAACAUGGGGCCAUAGUCACAGGGCAGGAGGCCGGCAAUCAGUCUUCUCCAAUGCUCAGUGGCGAGGCUGGUUCCGCCACAUUUCUCCCUUUCCCAAAACAACUAACAAGGUAUCAGGCCUCCUGUCGGUCAGUGCCUUGGUUAGUCCAGCAACCCACCCACAAAACAUAGUCAGUAGUGCAGCACACCCACAAUGAACAGUUACUGUACCUGGGGUAGUGGGUAGCUUGUCCAUGUCCAGGGGCUCCACCACGGGUCUGGGGAGUACUAGCCCUCCGGAUCAGUGGGUUACUGCGUGGGCCGAGACCAGUGGUACUCUGCCCUGGUGCCAGCACUACCACGGGAGUAGCCUGAUUGGGGCUCAGCUGAGGAGAAGGGUUAGUAGGCUCCUCCCUCUGGACCUGGUGUUUCUGCUGGAGGGGAAGACAGGCUGUCUCCCCUUUGGAUAAACAGCCAUGCUGCAGGGGGACAGGACCGACUGUCCCUACCCCCUGUGGUUUGGGCACAGAGACCACGGUGGCAUCUGCACCGUUGUGGGGCUUACUGUCUCCCCUUGGUGGGCUAGGCUGCUGCUGGGGAGAGGGUGUAACAAGCUCCUCUCCCAUAUAUCCUUUCAGCUGCUGGGGAGAGGGGGUAACAAGCUCCUCUCCCUGACACUCUCUCUGCUGUUGGAGAGGGAGACCGACUGUCUCCCCUUUCAAUAAUUUGUUCUGUCGCUGGGAAGAGGUGAUAACCGGUUCCUCUCCCUGGAACACUCUCUGCUGUUGGAUAGGGAGACCGACUGUCUCCCCUUUCAAUAAUUUGUCCUGCUGCUGCUGAGCAAGACCGACUGUCUCUGCUUCCUGCAGGACACACUGCCACUGGGGAGGAAGGACUGCACCUUCCGCUCCCUGGGAAACAUACUGCCGCUGGGGAGGAAGGACAGCACCUUCAGCUCCCUGGUACUCACUGGACUGUUGGGGAGAGGGACCAACUGUCUCCUCUCCUAAGGACACACACUGCCGCUGGGGAGUGAAACCAGUGGUCUCUCCUCCCUGUAAUGUACUCUGCCGCUCGGGAUCUGGGCCAACUGCCCAGCAUCCCUGUAGGGCCUGUAGAGAGAUCUCGGUCCCAUCUCCACCUGCCAUCUGUGGGUCUCUCCAGGACCAGUCCAUGAGGUCCCCUACUUCUGCAGCUGGUAGUGAAGCAGGGGGUACCUCGGCUGCGUUUCCCAGCUGUAGGUUGGCAGGUCUGGGUCCGCCACCCAGUUUUCCUGUUCUGCGUCCAUGCUCUGUGGCUGACAUGAGAUUAGUAGUUCCACAUAGUCCUAUUGGACUGGAACAAGACCUCCACCGUUUCGCUCUCGUUCCAUGGCAGCGAAACGGUGGAGGUCUUGUUCCAGUCCAAUAGAUCUCGGGCCCUGUACCAUCUCACCCCGGUAAUGAAAGAUAGCCCAGUACCGUGACUCUGCUGGACUGCCAAAGUCGACGUCUUCUGCUAAGGCCUUCCACAACAGGCCAGGGCUAGUGUAGUUCUCCCCCUCGGGCUGGAUGCCCUCUGCCCUCCACGUCUCUGGCUGGACAGUGCACCACCACAGUGCCCGGUAUGAGGCGUCAAGGCUCAGUUCCCUUUCCACGAGGUACUGAGGUUGUCUUACCAGCUGCCCUCCGGGUUAGUCUCCCAGAAGCGGCAUCCGCCAGGCCAUUUGUUCCUCCAACAGGUAUGCGACAUCAGGAAGGCGUUGAUACUGGACUUCCNNNNNNNNNNNNNNNNNNNNNNNNNNNNNNNNNNNNNNNNNNNNNNNNNNNNNNNNNNNNNNNNNNNNNNNNNNNNNNNNNNNNNNNNNNNNNNNNNNNNUCCAGGGCAUCGUACCAUAAUUCCGUCCGGGCAAUAUCUCUCCAUUCCAAUUCACUCUCUUCCUCAGGUGUGCGUGUUGCUCAAGGAUCCACGAACCCCAUUUUCCCAAAUCUUUAUGUAGACAGGGAUGCUGUAUAAACACUAGCGUCGCCUUCAAUUUGUACAUCCACGAACGGUGUCUCUGAGCUGCUUUACCUCGCACUAGGACGCCAUCCCACCGCUGCCACCAAUGUAACGGUUCACCUGGCACCCCGACUGGGUACCUCCAUUGAAGGAUGCUUCUAGCGCUUCAUGAGGACUCCAAGCACUGCAGCAGACACCAAAACCACCGAACCAUAGGAGCAUAUGAAUGCUCUCAAGCAUAUGAAUGUUGUAUACAGCCAAAUAGGAAAAACCAUGCGAAUAGGUUUACACUCCUAGCAGUCAAACUGGAACAGCAUACAAUGAAUCCUCCCCCAAUAAUGAGACGACACUUCACUUUGAGGGUUAAGCAGGAACUGCAGAGCUGUGGGUUUAUUGUUCUUAUAUACACAUUAGUACCACCCACAGGGUUUUGUAAAACAACCAAUAAACAUGUAGAUAACACUCAGACACUCCCAUACAAAAUCCUCCCCUCUGCCUGUGAUACAAUUACCUUACACAAUGGGUAAUUCAAUUAUCACAGCCAGAGAAAUACAGUUUUUCCACAUUAUUCAUAACUUGAAAAGUAUCCAUCACAUUCACAUAAAACUUACAUUUUCAGCAUACGCCAAAUAAAAACAUAUGUCAAAUUCAUACAUAUUGGUCCAGUGGUUCAAAAGAUAGAUCGUAGUCCUUUGUGACCACAGGAAGCAUGGCUUUUCUGCCCAAAACCAGUUCCACCUAGUCUUCUAUCCUGGAGAUAAUUGGGAAGUAAUCCAAUUAUCUCCAAGGACAGAGGCAAAACUCCAUUGAACACAUGGCAGCAAAAGACAAUAAAACACAUAAAAACAUAUAACUGUGCAGCCAUUGCAUAAAACAGGUACAUUGAACAUAUCCCCAGAUAGCUCAGAUCUGAGCACACAUUAUUACUGAAUGGCGCUCAGAGCACACACAUACAGUUCAAUUGCCAUGGAGCCAAAGUCUUUCCCAUAGUCUUUCAUUAUACGAAUGGGCUCCAUGGCAUAGCUAUCUGGGUAACACUGCUCACGUAGGGAAAGUACCGAAGAGCCAGCUUUUGGGUCUUUGCAGGGGAAAAUCCAUCAUUUCAACAUGGGGCCAUAGUCACAGGGCAAGAGGCCGGCAAUCAGUCUUCUCCAAUGCCCAGUGGCGAGGCUGGUUCCGCCACAGUAAGCACUAUGGAUCUCCAUUUUACUUAUUUCUAGAACAGAGAAAAAUAUCUGUAACUUAAGACCAUUAUAUAUGAUCUUAAAGUAUUAUUACUUAUAUGCAGUGUACAUAUUAUUGAUAGCACAACAUUUGAAGAAGACAUCACUGGUAUGGUACUAUAUACAAAUAGCUCAUUCAAUAGAUCAACCCCAGCUGGUUCAAUAGCUGGAGCUAUUGCAUAAACUGUAUCAACAUAUUGCUUUGAUACCUCUACCAGACUGAGACUGAACAUAUUGGAAUCAUUGGGACUUAUUCACUAAUACAUUGGUAUUUUAAGUGAAUUGUAAGUUUUAUUCAGUUUUAUACAUUUAUGAAACACUGCUCCUAUUGUAAAGGUAUAUUUAAUUCAUUCACUAUAACUACUCCUGGUCCUGGAUACUCAUUAGAUUAUAUAUAAUAUCUUACUCUCAUCCUAACAUUGGGAGUAGGACAUAUCCCCACACCUGCUGGCCUUGGAAACCUUAGUAACAAACAGUGAAAGAUCUGUUACAAAAAUAUUACACAGCUAAGCUAUUAUACUGCUAAGUGUACACUUUGCUAUUAACCUUCUAUUGCAAGAUAACAAACUAUCAGUUGGAUUACACUGGUUUGCAUUUUAGCAUUAUAUAACUAUAUUGGUGUAACGGACCGUUUAGCAUAAAAGGGGAAAAAACCGCUUAGACGAUAAUCCCCUUUCAGAGACAGGCACAGCUACUGUAGAAUCACCAAAACUCAUGAACUGAAUACAAGUGAAUGCUCCAAACUCCCGAACGGCAUACAAGGGAAUGCUCCAAACACUCGAACUGCAUACAAGGGAAUGGUCCAAACACUCGAACUGCAUACAAGGGAAUGGUCCAAACACUCGAACUGCAAACAAGUGAAUGCUCCAAACUCCCGAACGGCAUACAAGGGAAUAAGGUAGCACUCCAAAUACACGAACAGGAACCAUACGAAUUGCUGCUACCAGACGAACAGGAAAAGCUCCCAAGCGGCUUACACUCCUGGCAAUCAGUCCUUAGCAGCAUACAGUAAAUCCCCCCAAAGACGAGACAGAGCUCCGUGUUGAGGGUCAAGCAGUGGUCUGUUUAAUGAGGGCUACCUGCCCAGCUUUUAUGCAGGUCUCCCACCUGGUGGACACUCCCCUAGGGGACCAAAUGGGAGACUGUGACAAGGGACAGACAAGUAUACAAAUAGGACACACAGUCACAGUAUAUUCCCACAAUGCAUCCUGGCUUCCUCCCCUCUGCCCUGGGAGAUAAUUGGGAAGUAACUCAAUUAUCUCCCAAGUCAAAGGCAAAACUCCAUUACACACGUGGGAACACAAAACCAGCAUUAUACUUUAAAAUGCACAAAGUAACAUUUACUACAUAAAACACAGACAUGUAACAUAUCCCCAGAUAGCUCAGGUCUGAGUGCACAUUAUUAGGUGAAUGGCACUCAGACCACACGAAUACAGUUUUAAUUGCCAUGGAGCCAAAGUCUUUAAUUCCACGAAUAGGCUCCAUGGCAUAGCUAUCUGGGUUAAAACAUUCCUCCAACAUAAAAUACCGAAUUUACAUGCAUUCGUUCAAUCCGUGCGAAUUAGAACCAGGGGUUGGAGGUUCAGCGGUGCCUGCACGUAAAAGUGUCCGGGUUUGGUGCAUGAAAGCCGGGCAGACAAGCGCUGGCUGCCCGGGGAGCUCCAGAACACCGCCAUCGUGUGGCGGCUAAGUGUAACCGCGACCACCCAGUAACAAUCAAUUAAGCUGCGGUUAACCGCAGCUACUGGGUGGUCAAUUGCCGGCACACGCUCGUUAAGCCGCGGUUAACCGCGGCUUCAGGGAGGUAAAUGGAGGGCGCACUCCAGCUUCUGGGUGGCCAAUUAAGGUCGCCGGCCGGCUUCCCACGGCUCUGGGGAGGCUGAAAAGAGACUGUUUGUUUGGUAGAUGGAAUCUACCGAACGGCUGUGCAGAAAGGGAGAAAUAAAUCCUUCUGCACAGUAAAAUUAACCCUUUAGCUGCCGGUCCAUAAUCCAAAGGCAGCAGGCGGGCAACCAGGCUCCUCCAAUGCAAUGUGGCGAGAUUGGUUUCGUCACAAUUGGUAUAUAUAGAUUUAUAUUAUUUAAGGCUCUUAACAUGAUAAUCGUCACAAUGUAAAUGUCAGAAUAUUAGAUAUAGUUUUGCUGCUCCAUGAAAAACAAAUAUAUUUACAUUUUGUGAUUCAAUCUGUGCCUGGAUUUUGACUUUGCAUGUAUUUGAUGUCUGCCCAAACAGAGAGAGGAAUGGUAGUAUCAUGUGUGGGGGGAGUGUGGAGGGCGAUGUUGACUUGAUUUGUUAGUCUAAAACAGCCACCUUGUUAUAGAUCCAACACCGGACAGAAGAAACUUAGCAGUUUCACAAGUGCUG
rnacentral:lncRNA from 1 species